AGCGAACGCUGGCGGCAGGCCUAACACAUGCAAGUCGAACGAACUCUUCGGAGUUAGUGGCGGACUGGUGAGUAACACGUUGGAACGUGCCUUUUGGUUCGGAAUAACUCAGGGAAACUUGUUCUAAUACCGAAUGUGCCCUUCGGGGGAAAGAUUUAUCGCCAUUAGAGCGGCCCGCGUCUGAUUAGCUAGUUGGUGAGGUAACGGCUCACCAAGGCGACGAUCAGUAGCUGGUCUGAGAGGAUGACCAGCCACACUGGGACUGAGACACGGCCCAGACUCCUACGGGAGGCAGAAGUGGGGAAUCUUGCGCAAUGGGCGAAAGCCUGACGAAGCCAUGCCGCGUGAAUGAUGAAGGUCUUAGGAGUGUAAAAUUCUUUCACCGGGGACGAUAAUGACGGUACCCGGAGAAGAAGCCCCGGCUAACUUCGUG
rnacentral:rRNA from 1 species